rnacentral:rRNA from 1 species
GUAGGGAAUAUUGCGCAAUGGACGAAAGUCUGACGCAGCGACGCCGCGUGAGUGAUGAAGGCCUUAGGGUCGUAAAGCUCUGUUGAAUGGGAAGAAAAAAAUGACGGUACCAUUCGAGGAAGGACCGGCUAACUUCGUGCCAGCAGCCGCGGUAAUACGAGGGGUCCUAGCGUUGUUCGGAAUCAUUGGGCGUAAAGGGUGUGUAGGUGGCCAUGUAAGUCAGGUGUGAAAGCCCCGGGCUCAACCCGGGAAGUGCACUUGAUACUGCGUGGCUUGAGUACCGAAGAGGGUAGUGGAAUUCCAGGUGUAGUGGUGAAAUACGUAGAUAUCUGGAGGAACACCGGUGGCGAAGGCGGCUACCUGGUCGAGUACUGACACUGAGACACGAAAGCAUGGGGAUCAAACAGGAUUAGAAACCCUUGGUAGUCC